UGCCCACCUCUGCCUCCCAAAGUGCUGGGAUUACAGGUGUGAGCCACCGCACCCAGUCAGCUCACUUAAUUUUCAUGGAAUACAGUGGGCAUUAUGAUCCCAAUUUUACAAGUGAGAAAACUGAGAAGGAGAGAGGUCCCCAAAGUUGCCUAAAGUCACACAGUAAGUGGUAGAGUCAGGAUUCCAGCUGAAGUCUGCUUCCAAAUCCCACCUUCUAACCGCUGCCACUAGACUGCUGUGUCUGCUGGGGUGUUAGGUCACAGGAGAAAAGAGAUAAUGGCUUUGUGACCCGGGAGCUCCGCCUUCACCUCCUCCUGCCAUCCUCAGCAUGAGCCAGCUGCAUGAGGGGUGCUGUGUGCUGGGCUGGAGGAUGGAGCCAUGUGCCACUCCCUCCGAGGCACGCUGUGAAGGUGCAAGUGGUGUGUUCUGAGAGUGCGGAGGAUGAAAACUUCUCACCCAGCUUUCUACAUUCAAGUUUACAAGUGCUGCUCAGGACCCACUGAUUAUUUCCAGGGGAAGAUCACCAAACCGCCUAAGGCCGAGACUCCCAGGAUAGCGCAGCAUGCCCCGGAGUCCCCCAGCUCGAUUUGCUCAGAACUCAGAAAGAAAACAGCCCACACUCCUUGAACUUCAGGCACUGAUGGAGGCAUUUUCCAAAGAACAGUGACAAGGACGGCCAGCACCUCUCUUGCAUUCCUCAGUCUGACUCAAGCUGCUCUUCCACCCUCCUCCCCAGCUGGAGCUGAGGCUGAAGGCAGUUGAGGGCCACCAGGGAGAAGAGCUGGGUCAGGGCCGUGACUUGCCAGCAAGCAUGAGGCCAAGCAGAUGUGCCGGAACAGCUGUGGUGACAGAGCUGUGGCCAACUGCUCCCUGGGCCGAGGGUGAAGGAAGCUGUGCUCCCACUGGUGCUAGGGAAGGCUGCUGCAGGGCUGGAGGCCUGGGUGCUGGACUGCUGGGGCAGGCUGCCUGCUGUACCCCCAAGCUGCAGUCAGGGCUCGCCCUGAGGCCCUGAGGUGGAGAGAGAGCAGCUGUCUCGUACACACCCAUGUGCACAAGUGCAGGCACACACACACACACACACACACACACAAAAGACGUUCUCACUUCAUCCCCGAAUUCUCCCUCCUACACACAAAGCUAGUUCCCAGUUCUCCAGUCCCCCUCCAUCCCUCUCCACUUCUGUAGUCUCUGCUGGGCUGCACUGGGGAUCUGGUCCCAAUUCCCCUCUCUUCCCUUGCUGCCCCUGUAACAAAGGGCUGGCCAUGUGACAUGAUCUCCUCAGGCUUCAGAGAAGUGAUUUUACCCUGAGCUACACAGGCAGGAAGACCACCAGCCUGGAAGGGCCCUUCAGCCACUUUCCCAACAAACAGCAAAUCUCCGCCGAUUGAACUCUGACUGAGGCAAUGGGGGCAUGCCAGGCAACAAGGUGGAGGUUUGCUACCGUGGGAGCAGGGAGAGCGUGGAACACAGACGCUCUGGGUGUUGAAGAGGAGGCUUCACCCUUAAAUCCACACCAACAGCCCCCUUCACUUCCCCCGGUGAAGAACGAAGGACCCUGUGGGAUUUCUACUUCAAAUCUCUCAUUUAUUCCGACAUCCACUCGGUUAUGACUCCAAGUUAUCAAAGAUGCAAGACAAGAAGUCUAGAGCAGGAGUGGUGAAGUGGAGGUGGAGAAAGACGGCGGAGAGGGCUGUGUUCCUGGCCCCUCCUUCUCUUCCAAUUUAGGGCACCGUUUGAAAAGUGUACAAGUAGUGUCCCUUAGCACAGACUAGACAGCAGAAAAGGACAGUGCAGUUGAGUGGGGGAAGCUUCCUUUUCCACAGGGUGGGGCCCUGCGGCUGCAGCGGGCAGGCAGGCAAUCUCGAGCCUGGUUGGAGACCGUGCCCUGAGCAGCGUGGGCUAUGUGGGGAAGAGCUGGGGCCCACCAUCUCUCCAGCACCCCAAACCCAGAUUCUGAUUUGUGGGGCUAGCAGGGCUUAGCUAGGAAAGCGGUAGGAGGGAGGGGAUUGCACAGGACGCUUGUACUCAGGGACCCCAUCAAUCAGGGGCAAGAAGUGGGUGAUGGUUAACUGGGUCUUGAUUUUUACAAAGGCAGGACGUACGAAUGAUGUUAUUUCUGGCAAGGAGGACACGGCUGCUGUGGUUGAUUGGCUGUGGAAUUCCAGGGGAGCAAGGCACUAGGAAGUGGGGAACGCUGCCAGGCCCAGCAGCUCAUCAGGAGCUUGCACUUGGCCCAGUUAGGGCUGGCCGUGGGACGGGCUUGUUGAAGCUGCUGCCGCCAUAAGCUGCCCCUCUGCACCAGGAGACAGAUCCCAUUACCCCACCUACAGCUGCUUCCUGGUACAAGAGAAGAGUUACCAUUUGAAAUGACUCCACAGGAGAGUCUGACAAACAUGUUUGCUUUUCACUGACAAUUAAAAUUGUUUUGCUGCUAA
rnacentral:lncRNA from 1 species